rnacentral:rRNA from 1 species
CCUACGGGUGGCAGCAGUGGGGAAUAUUGGGCAAUGGAGGCAACUCUGACCCAGCAACGCCGCGUGAAUGAUGAAGGUCUUCGGAUUGUAAAGUUCUGUGAUGGGGGAUGAACACAAUGACGGUACCCCAAUAGCAAGCCACGGCUAACUACGUGCCAGCAGCCGCGGUAAUACGUAGGUGGCAAGCGUUAUCCGGAAUGACUGGGCGUAAAGGGAGCGUAGGUGGUUUAGUAAGUUGGCGGUGUAAUUCCGGGGCGCAACCCCGGCGCUACUGCCAAAUCUAUUUGACUAGAGUGCAGGAGGGGUAAGUGGAAUUCCUAGUGUAGCGGUGGAAUGCGUAGAUAUUAGGAGGAACAUCAGGGGCGAAGGCGACUUACUGGACUGUAACUGACACUGAGGCACGAAAGCGUGGGGAGCAAACAGGAUUAGAUACCCCAGUAGUC